rfam:TPA: Bos taurus chromosome 26, whole genome shotgun sequence.
UCACUGGUGGCUCAGACGGUAAAGUGUCUGCCUGCAACGCAGAAGACCUGGGUUCGUUUCCUGGGUCGGGGAG